CAAGGAAUAGUUUAUGAAAGAAUUUCGGCUUUGGGGGUCGGUGGUGAGAUUAGAGUCUCUUCCUUG
rnacentral:tRNA from 1 species